GACGAACGCUGGUGGCGUGCUUAACACAUGCAAGUCGAACGAUGAAGCUGGAGCUUGCUCCGGUGGAUUAGUGGCGAACGGGUGAGUAACACGUGAGCAAUCUGCCCUUGACUCUGGGAUAACUGCGGGAAACUGUAGCUAAUACCGGAUACGACACCUUGGGGCAUCCCAGGGUGUGGAAAGAAUUUCGGUCAAGGAUGAGCUCGCGGCCUAUCAGCUAGUUGGUGAGGUAAUAGCUCACCAAGGCGACGACGGGUAGCCGGCCCGAGAGGGUGACCGGCCACACUGGAACUGAUGCACGGGCCAGACUCCUACGGGAGGCAGCAGUGGGGAAUAUUGCACAAUGGGCGAAAGCCUGAUGCAGCAACGCCGCGUGAGGGAUGAAGGCCUUCGGGUUGUAAACCUCUUUUAGCAGGGAAGAAGCGAAAGUGACGGUACCUGCAGAAAAAGCACCGGCUAACUACGUGCCAGCAGCCUCCGUAA
rnacentral:rRNA from 1 species